GAGCGUUACUGUUCACAGGCACUCAAUGAGGAGACCCCUGUUUUCCGAAUUAUUACCAUGGAUGCCACUGAGCGAUUAAUUGCCGCAUAUGCUCUUGUUGUUUCAUCUCCUGAUCAAAACGUGGCGGCCUUAAUUAGAGUGGGAUGGAGAGGUAUGGUACGUGCAGGAUUGCACAACCCAGCAGCCGGGGCAAGUAUUUGCCAUCGUUUAUAUUGUGUUGCUCGACUAGACGUGGUGUUCCUCAAGACCCCCGCAUCUCUCUUUCCUUUCUCCAUUCCACAAUUAGCACAGCCGCUUCGUGAGGUUCAGUUUGGUUGGUCUUUGGGGAUAUUCACGUUAUCAGAGUUGAUGUUGAUUGAAUUUCUUAAUAUGGUUCAUUAUCCUCAUCAUGUGUUGUACAGAUCAUAUUUCUGCUCUGGGCUGGUGGGACAUAUUUCUAGAGUGCCAGGAGGUCAGCGGUCUGAGAUGAAUGUACAAGCAAGGAUUCAGGCAUUUGCCACACCACAUUGAAAUACUUGUUGCAGCAAUUCAGAUCAAUUAACCUGACAGCUUAUAUGGAUUAUCCAGUCACACAAGGAACUCUCGUCUGUGUUGUUGCUUCCAGCUAGUGGCUAAAAUGGAAACUGUUCUAGAAUUUGUAGUUUACUGCAUCUGUUAUUCCGUUCACCUAGGAUUUUAUGAUAAGAGAAUCCAUUACGUGUUUUGUUUAUAUAGAUUAAGCUGGACAAAAUCUAAAAGGCCUAACAAUAUUGUUAACUAAUUAUUAAAUUAUUUGGCAUGGUCAAGACAUGACUGUUAUUUUUUGUAAGAAAUUAUAACGAUAAUAACUCUGUUGUCAAGAAUGAACAAAAGAAAUGGCAGUCAAGACCUUCAGAUCUUACCAGCUAGUGGCUAAAAUGGAAACUGUUCUAGAAUAUUUGUCUUCUCUUUAUUUUAUUUUACCAUAUCUACUCGAAUUGUGUGGAUUGGAAGUUAGAGUCUUUUAUUCUGUCUAUGCUAAAUUACCGAACUCCAGCACUUCUGGAUUUCUAUAUCUAUGGUCUUCCUUAUUGCCGCCACCACAUUCACUCUCCUAAAGAUAAGUCGUAAGUUUUUGCUUUCUACUGAGUCACUUGUAUUUGAUGGCAUUUGUUUACUAUUUUGAAAUGACAUUCUUUCAUCUCUCAGAAGUAUUUCGUAGUGAUGCAGGUUACUUAUGAUGCUUACAAGUUGUACAGUCCAUACAAGUUUUCCAAAAAGGGACCAUAGUGAGCUUAUGUGAAUGAUGAUCAAAUUGCAAGCAUGCAUAUACGUUCGUCGUGCAUUUCAGCCUGUAGUUAACAAAUUAUAUUCAUAAGAUUAGCUGUUCAUGGGCUUUAAUAUUCUAGAACAAGUGGUUACUUAACGAAUAGUAGUACUUGCAAUUGUCUGUUCUUUCCAGAAACUUUUGAACUCUACUUGGUUGAUGUUGACUUCUUAGACUAUUGUUAUACCAACAGGUCUCAAUGGAGCUUUUCAACUGUGGGAGGAAAAAGAGUAUUGCAAGUUGCACUCCACUUGAAUUAGAGUUGAUUUUCCAAAUUUUAAUUGUCUGGAGCUUAUGAACUGACAAGCAGCUGAUAACAGUGCGAACCUGCCAGUGCUUUGUUGUUGAGGACAUUUCAUCUAGAAAAGAUUUAGAUAAUUCAGUAUGUCUUUCUAAAGGAUUCAGAUAGUAUAUGUUGGAUGCUGGCACCAAUGAAUGUGAAGAUGAUGGCCAUUUCAUCUAGAACCGAGUUAGAUAAUUCAGUAUGUCUUUCUAAAGGAUUCAGAUAGUUAUAUGUUGGAUGCUGGCACCAAUGAAUGUGAAGAUGAUGGCCAAAUUGUUGUAGGAAUUGAGGAAAGAUGGGAUAUGAAUGUCAAGAUGAUCAGCCAAGUAGUCGUAGGAAUUGCGGAACAAUGCAGACUUGGUCAACCAACAUGAUCAGGUUGAAAAAUAACUGCUUGGUUCACAUCGAAGACAUGGUGAACCAGACCUACCAAGCAGUUAAGAACAUUCCUGCAUGUCAGGGUUGUCAACGGAGUUGCCACCGAGCUAUACAUGCAGCUGUAAGGUGAGCUAUGGGAUUCCAUAUAGCCUUGCUUUUUGAAGUUUGGAGCAGUUCGGAUUUGUUGCUGCAGAGCACACACAAUCCUUAUCAAAUUCUCUCACAAUUUCUCUCCUUGCUUUCUGGUGUCAUAUCUUCUCAAAUUGUUGAAAGUCUUUUGUUUUGAAUUGUGUUUUUGGCUUUUUCUUGGCUGAAUUUAAUUCU